GUAUUUGACGGGGUGGAUGGGUGAUCAAUAUAUAAGGCCCAUGGCCUAGAUUAGCAGCCUCCAUUGCACUUAGGAGGGGUGCUCGCUUAAGGUCUACUUGAGUGGUGGAGCUUACGUCAUAAUUUGUGACAAUGGGGGCCUGCAUUCGCGUACAUUGA